UAGUUUUUUACUGAUUCAUACAAGAUGGCAGCGCUCAUUGGAAAACAUUUCGGAAUGUCAAACGUCUGAAAAUCUUUAACGCUCGUUUACAAUAAACGGUUAUUUUGCUUGUUAAUUCGUUUAAUAACAAUUAAUAAACCACGAUGUUCAGGGUAUCAUUUAUACAAAGAACUAUCCAAAGAAGGAUCUGUAAGAGAUGGUUCUCCUCUGUCACCCAGUCAGAGCCUUUGAGAAAUUCAGCAGUACAGGACACUGUGAGAGUUCUCCAGCCUGGUACCACACUACAUGGUUAUACAGUGGAGAAGAUUGAAGAGGUACCUGAGUUAUUUCUGACUGCUGUGUGCUUGCAACACAACAAGACAGGAGCACAGCACCUGCAUGUGGCUAGGGAUGAUACCAACAAUACAUUCAGUGUUGCAUUCAAGACCACACCACUGGAUAGCACAGGUGUGCCUCACAUCCUAGAGCAUACUGUGCUAUGCGGCUCCCAGAAAUACCCCGUCAGGGACCCCUUCUUCAAAAUGAUUAACAGAUCCCUGGCCACAUUUAUGAAUGCAUUCACAGCAAGUGACUGGACAAUGUAUCCAUUUUCUACACAAAACCGUCAGGACUUCAAGAACCUGCUCUCUAUUUACCUGGACGCUGUCUUCUACCCACAGCUGCGGGAGCUCGACUUCAGCCAGGAGGGAUGGCGACUGGAGCCCGUGGACCUGACAGACCCCAACUCUCCUCUUACUUUCAAGGGGGUCGUCUACAAUGAGAUGAAGGGAGUCUUCUCCAGUCAGCAGAGCAUCUUCUGUGAGGCAGUACAGAACCGGCUGUUGCCAAGCCACACGUAUGGAGUGGUAUCCGGGGGCGACCCUGCCUGCAUACCCGACCUCACCUGGCAGCAGCUGAAGCAUUUUCACCAGACACACUACCAUCCCAGCAAUGCCCGGUUCUUUACCUAUGGCAGUUUUCCCCUGGCCGAUCAUCUGCACUACAUCAAUGAGGAUUACCUGAAGCACUUUGAUGCUGUCACCGUGAACACAGACGUCCCAAAUGAGCCCCGAUGGGACACCCCGAGGGAGGUCAGUAUCAGCUGUCAGUCUGACCCGAUGGCAGCAGACCCAGCCAAGCAGACCACAGUGUCUGUCAACUAUCUACUGUCAGAGAUCACAGACUCAGAUGAGGCAACCACACUGAGUAUCCUGUCCACCCUUCUGACAGAUGGGGAGACAUCACCAUUCUACCAGGCCUUGCUGGAGGCCAACAUCGGCUCUGACUACUCUCCUGUCAUUGGCUACAAUGGAUACAUGAAGGAGAGCACUUUCUCUGUUGGACUUCAAGGCAUUCAUGAGAAAGAUGUUGUCACGGUGAAGAAAAUUAUUGCUGAAACCAUAGACAAGGUCAUACGGGAUGGUUUUGAGCAGUCCAGAAUAGAUGCCAUACUUCAUCGUAUAGAGCUGCAGACCAAGCAUCAGACCAGUAACUUUGGACUCGGCAUCAUCAUGUCUAUAGCCAGUACAUGGAACCAUGGGGGAGAUGCAGCCAGGGCCCUCAAGGUGAACAGCCUCAUGCAGAGGUUCAAACUGAACAUGCAGAACGACCCACAGUACCUUCAGAUGAAACUCAAGAAAUACUUAAAGGACAAUCGCCACUGCCUAACCGUGAUUAUGAAGCCAGAUGACAAAUAUGGCAUGAUUCGCCAGGAGCAGGAGGCGCAGAAACUGCAGAGCUGUGUGAGUCACCUGGGAGAGGCAGAGAGGCAGAGGAUUGUCAGGCUAGGUGAGGAGCUUCAGAAGACUCAGAACAUGGCUGAGGACCUGUCCUGUCUACCCUGCAUACAGCUUGCUGAAAUUGAUCGCAACAUCAAACCUGAAAGUGUUAACAUUAACCAUGUCGAUGGUGUCCCAGUGUAUGCUAGUGCCCAACCCACCAAUGAGAUUGUGUACCUGAAGAUGGUGUCCUACCUGGACCAAGUCCCAGAGGAGAUGAAGAUGUAUGUGCCCCUCCUCGCCAGCAUCAUCACCAAGAUGGGUGCAGGUGUGUACGACUACAAGGCCUUGUCCCACCAGGUGGAGCUCUUCACAGGGGGUCUCCAUGGCGACUGUCACGUGGUUGCUAGCCCCACUAACCCCAGGGGCCUUGACCAGGGCCUUGUUUUCACCUCCCACUGCCUGGAGAGGAACAUCAGCAACAUGCUGGGGCUAUGGACAGAAAUAUUUGACAGGGCCACAUUGCGAGAUGGCAGGAGGCUGGAGACCCUGAUCAAGAUGUGUGCAGCUGACCUGGCAGCGGGUCUCCCCAACUCUGGACACAACUAUGCCAUGACUCACAGUGCAGCUUCCCUCUCCCCAGCAGCAAGGCUCAGUGAAAUGUUCACGGGGAUGUCACAGGUGUCAGUUAUGAAGAAGAUUGCUGAACUCGACGAUAACAGCAAAGUGAUGGAGCAUUUGAUUGAGCUGGCUCAACAGAUCAUGAACAAAAAUUCCCUCAAGGUAAUGGUGAAUGCAACACCCCAGUUCAUGUCCAGUUCCCUGGUCAAGAUAGAGCAGUUUAUCUCAACAUUGCAUAGCAACCGUAAACCAGAGCUCCGUCUGCCUAGAGACCACAUGACUCUUGCAGGUGAUUUCAGGCCAGCAUCUCAGAAGACACAGUUUGAGCUGCCAUUCUCUGUGAACUACAUGAGCAAGAGUGUACUGGCAGUGCCCUACAUGCAUGAGGACUUUGCCCGGUUACAAGUUCUAUCUCGAUUGUUGUCAUGGAAAUUCCUUCACCGUGAGAUACGAGAGAAGGGUGGGGCCUAUGGAGGAGGAGCAGUGAUGUCGCCUAGCAACGGGGUCUUCAGCUUCUACUCCUACAGGGACCCUAACUCCCUGGCCACCCUUGACACGUUUGAGAACUCCAUUGUAUGGGCAGCCAAUGGAGGCUUCACAGACACAGAUGUGGAGGAGGCCAAGAUCACCAUGUUCCAGCAGAUAGACAAGCCAGUGCCCCCUGGUCAGAGUGAGUGUACAGUAGUAGUGUGGGUUGCAGAUAGACAAGCCAGUGCCCCCUGGUCAGAUGGGAAACAAGCUGUUCCUAAGCAACAUUACAAAUGAGAUGCGACAGAUCACGCGGGGCAGGCUGUUUGCGGUCACAAAAACUGAGCUACAAGAGGUUACACAUAAGUAUCUGUUGGCUGGGAAACAAGAAUCAUCUUUGACAUUUCUUGGUCCAAGUAAUAGUGUGGUAGCUGAGGACAAAUCCUGGAAGGUUGUCAAGGAGUAGCAGGUGCCAGUGCCUGUUAUAAGUACAGCACGUGGUUCAGCAAGGUGCAGGGCCAUAAUGGGACUCUUCCAAAGAAGAAUGGCUGUUCCUGAACAGUUAUAAUCCAUUCAAAUUAUGGACUGUGAAGAUGAUAUCUUCUUUGCAAAGUGUGAAGAAAUAAAAAUUUCAUUGUUAGUAUCCAAUUUAUUUGACUAUUGUUUACUUGCCUUAGUUGUUGAUGUAAGACAGUAUCAAAUAACAAAAAAAUGUGUGUUUGAAAAUGAAAAAACAACAAUAAAAAACAUGCAUAUU